AGUGUAGGCGGGAUGUCAAGUCAGAAGUGAAAAAUUACGGGCUCAACUCGUAACCUGCUUUUGAAACUGACAUUCUUGAGUGAAGUAGAGGCAAGCGGAAUUCCUAGUGUAGCGGUGAAAUGCGUAGAUAUUAGGAGGAACACCAGUGGCGAAGGCGGCUUGCUGGGCUUUUACUGACGCUGAGGCUCGAAAGCGUGGGAGCAAACA
rnacentral:rRNA from 1 species